rnacentral:rRNA from 1 species
UACAGAGGUCUCAAGCGUUGUUCGGAUUCAUUGGGCGUAAAGGGUGCGUAGGCGGCGCGGUAAGUCGGGUGUGAAAUCUUGGAGCUUAACUCCGAAAACUGCAUUCGAUACUGCCGUGCUUGAGGACUGGAGAGGAGACUGGAAUUUACGGUGUAGCGGUGAAAUGCGUAGAUAUCGUAAGGAAGACCAGUGGCGAAGGCGGGUCUCUGGACAGUUCCUGACGCUGAGGCACGAAGGUCAGGGGGAGCAAACGGG